CCUACGGGAGACAGCAGUGAGGAAUAUUGGUCAAUGGACGAGAGUCUGAACCAGCCAAGUAGCGUGAAGGAUGACUGCCCUAUGGGUUGUAAACUUCUUUUAUAAAGGAAUAAAACGAGGCACGUGUGCCUUUUUGCAUGUACUUUAUGAAUAAGGAUCGGCUAACUCCGUGCCAGCAGCCGCGGUAAUACGGAGGAUCCGAGCGUUAUCCGGAUUUAUUGGGUUUAAAGGGAGCGUAGAUGGGUUGUUAAGUCAGUUGUGAAAGUUUGCGGCUCAACCGUAAAAUUGCAAUUGAUACUGGCAGUCUUGAGUACAGUUGAGGUAGGCGGAAUUCGUGGUGUAGCGGUGAAAGGCUUAGAUAUCACGAAGAACCCCGAUUGCGAAGGCAGCUUACUAAACUGUGACUGACAUUGAUGCUCGAAAGUGUGGGUAUCAAACAGGAUUAGAUACCCGAGUAGUC
rnacentral:rRNA from 1 species